AAUGAACGUUGGCGGCGUGCCUAAUACAUGCAAGUCGAGCGAAUGGAUUAAGAGCUUGCUCUUAUGAAGUUAGCGGCGGACGGGUGAGUAACACGUGGGUAACCUGCCCAUAAGACUGGGAUAACUCCGGGAAACCGGGGCUAAUACCGGAUAACAUUUUGAACCGCAUGGUUUGAAAUUGAAAGGCGGCUUCGGCUGUCACUUAUGGAUGGACCCGCGUCGCAUUAGCUAGUUGGUGAGGUAACGGCUCACCAAGGCAACGAUGCGUAGCCGACCUGAGAGGGUGAUCGGCCACACUGGGACUGAGACACGGCCCAGACUCCUACGGGAGGCAGCAGUAGGGAAUCUUCCGCAAUGGACGAAAGUCUGACGGAGCAACGCCGCGUGAGUGAUGAAGGCUUUCGGGUCGUAAAACUCUGUUGUUAGGGAAGAACAAGUGCUAGUUGAAUAAGCUGGCACCUUGACGGUACCUAACCAGAAAGCCACGGCUAACUACGUGCCAGCCGCCCCGUAAGAC
rnacentral:rRNA from 1 species